rnacentral:ncRNA from 1 species
AUUUAAGUUUAAUUCUAGCUUAUUAAUUUAGCUUUAUAAAUGAGUUAUAUAUUAGUUUAUUAAAUUUUUUUUUAAUAGUAAUUAGAAUUGGUUAAUUUAUUAAUUUAAUUUUAGUGAUUUAUAUUAUGGUUGAUUAAUUUUGUGCCAGCAUUCGCGGUUAAACAAUUAUACCUAGGUUAAGUUUUUUAGUUUUAUUAUUAAUUGUUAAUAUUGAAUUAAGUUAAGAUUUAUUAAGGUGGAAUUUAUAUAUUUAUUUAUAUUCUGUUAUUAAAUUUAUUAUAAUUUUAGUUAUUUAAAAUAGGAUUAGAUACCCUAGUAUUCUUUUGAUUUAAUAAUAAACUUGAAUAAAAGUAGUAUUUGAUCUUCAUAACUCAAAGAAUUUGGCGGUUAGUUAUUUAUCAGAGGAUCCUGUAUAUUAAUUGAUAAACCACGAUAGUUUAUACUUUUUAUUUACUUAUAUAUCUCUAUGUUUAUGGAUGUUUUAUUAGAAUUAUUUUCUUUUAGAUUAAUCGUUAAUUUUAGGUCAAGGUGUAGUUUUUAUUAUAGUUUAUAUGGGUUAUUUUAGUUUUAAUUAUAAUUUAAUUUAAGCUGGUUUAGUUUAUAUUUUUAGAUUUGAUAGUAAAUUUAAUUAAUUAAUUAUUUUGAAUUUAGUUAAAAUUAAUGUACAUAUUGCCCGUCACUCCUUCAGGGAUAAGUCGUAACAAAGUAACCCUUCCGGAAGGAAGGGUUAGAUGAU